GGGUCAGUUGUCUUGGGAGCAGGGAGUUCACCAGUGAUGUAGCCCAGUUUACCACGCCCACAAAUCACAAUCUUGACUGACUGUGCCCAUUGUAGGUAGUUUCUACCAUUUAAUUUGUGGGCUGUAAUAUGAAGAGAUGCAUCGCUUCCGGAAAGAGAAGCAAUUGGGAUGGAACUAGGCUCAGCCAUAGAUUGGCUAGAUGUUGAAGAUCCGGUAUUGUCACCAGAUGAGAUGUCGACUUCUUUUCCAGCCAUAAGAGACAAUUAGUCCUUAGGCUCUGAUACCAUGUAAAUUCACAGAUUAGAAUGAAUAAUUUCUGUAUUUUAUUGAUGAGAAUUACUCCUCUUUAAAUAGAUUACAGGAGAAUAAAUCAAAUCCCACAAAAUCAGAGCUAUAACAGCUAGAAAUCUAAUUCUAAGGAAACAAAUCAGUAAACCUAUUUAAGGAAAUAAAUCUUGCCAAAUAACAUAGAUCCUAAUAUAUACAAUUCUAAUUAUGUAUAAUUCUGAUUUCAUCCACAA
rnacentral:lncRNA from 1 species